rnacentral:rRNA from 1 species
GUUGGCGACCAAGGCGGAGAGGGUAGUCCCGUUCCCAUUUCGAACACGGAAGAGAAUCUCUCCAGCGAUUUGUUGAGUACUGAACGAGAGUUUGGGAAAAGCAUGACGUCGCUUACC